rnacentral:rRNA from 1 species
UACGGAGGGUGCGAGCGUUGUCCGGAAUCAUUGGGCGUAAAGGGCGCGUAGGUGGCCCGGUCAGUCCGUGGUGAAAGCGCGGGGCUCAACCCCGCGUCGGCCAUGGAUACUGCUGGGCUGGAGCACUGUAGAGGCAGGCGGAAUUCCGGGUGUAGCGGUGGAAUGCGUAGAGAUCCGGAAGAACACCGGUGGCGAAGGCGGCUGCUGGGCAGUGGGAGCUUCGGCUCGUCUUUAGCCGGACACUGAGGCGCGACAGCGUGGGGAGCAAACAGGAGUUAGAAACCCU